rnacentral:rRNA from 1 species
UACGUAGGAAGCGAGCGUUGUCCGGAUUUACUGGGCGUAAAGGGCGUGUAGGCGGAGCGGCGCAUCCUGGAGUAAAUCUAUCGGCUCAACUGAUAGGCUUUCUAGGAGAUGGCCGCCCUUGAGGACAGCAGAGGAAAGUAGAAUUCCCGGUGUAGCGGUGAAAUGCGUAGAGAUCGGGAGGAACACCAGAGGCGAAAGCGGCGACCUGGACAGGCACUGACACUCAACUACGAAAGCGUGGGGAGCAAACAGG